rnacentral:rRNA from 1 species
GACGAACGCUGGCGGCGUGCUUAACACAUGCAAGUCGAACGGAAAGGCCCCUUUUGGGUUACUCGAGUGGCGAACGGGUGAGUAACACGUGAGUAACCUGCCCUUGACUUCGGGAUAACUUCAGUAAACUGGGUCUAAUACCUGAUAGGAAUCCUUGCUGCAUGGUGGGGGUUGGAAAGCUUCGGCGGUUUUGGAUGGACUCGCGGCUUAUCAGCUUGUUGGUGGGGUAGUGGCUUACCAAGGCUUUGACUGGUAGCCGGCCUGAGAGGGCGAACGGCCAAAUUGGGAAUGAGAUACGGCCCCGACUCCCACGGGAGGCAGCAGUGGGGAAUAUUGCACAAUGGGCGGAAGCCCGAUGCAGCAAAGCCGCGUGCGGGAUGACGGGCUUCGGGUUGUAAACCGCUUUCAGCAGGGGAGAAGCUUGUGGUGACGGUAACUGCAGAAGAAGCACCGGCUAACUACGUG